UGGGGAGAGUGGAGCUGCUACCCCUGGGGAGAGAGAGGAGCUGCUACCCCUGGGGUGAGAAGAACUGCAACCAGCAGAGACUGCGACCAUGCUCGGGAAGAGCUUAGUGAUUGGUGAUUGUUGGGGCAUGAUUGGCAGGAGCUUCAGUAAUGAAGACUGCUGCACUUGCUGAUGUUUCACAAUAUGCCACGGCCGUCUCAGUCACCAGGUCUCAACACAAUAGAACACCACCAUCCCUCCAAUAGACUUCCAGACAGUUGUAGAAUGUUUGCCAAGGCUCAUUGUAAGAGCUGUAAAGAGAGAGGGACUCGGAGAGAGAACAGGUAGAACCUGAUAUGUAAAUGAGCAGAGCAAACGAAAGCAACUUUCAACGACCGAAUGAUCAUUCAGACUGUUUCUAUUGAGAGAUAAAAGGCUGGUUGAAUGAGUUGCCUGUGAAAGCUACUUCAUCUGCAAGAAAACAGGCGGCUGCACCAGUGACUGUCAGAAGUUUUGUGAUUUCCUCAUAUGAACGUGAAAGGGUCACUGCUCUAAAAUGAGUCUCUCUUGGAAGAGAGAGGAGGAGGGCCCUGCCUCUAAAAGGAGUGUCUCUGGGGAACAUGGCACCAAAUCUAAGAGACCAAUCAAGCAGGAGAGACCAGCCUCCCUGU